GAGAUUUCCCAUAACGUAAGUUAGUAAGACUCCUGGAAGACCACCAGGUUGAUAGGUGAGGGGUGUAAGCAUGGUAACAUGUUCAGCUGACUCAUACUAAUAAGUCGAGGGCUUGAUCUA
rnacentral:ncRNA from 1 species